CUGUUGUUUGCAGUAACACACAAAUCUGUUCUGUGGAUGACUUAGUGCUAACAUACCGUUUUAGUUUAUCCAUUUGUGAUUACACGAUUUACCGAUAUGUCGAAAAAAAUAAAGUUAGACCUUCGGAAAGAACAGGAUCGUGAAACUGCAGUGCAGUGGUUAGAGGAAAGUGAUGAUGAUUACCUUUCUGAAAGAGAUAGUUUAUCGGAUGAUUCAGAAUUAGAUGAUAAUUUAGAAGUAGCGGAAUAUGAGCCUGAAAUUCUGCAGAUUUAGUGCAAUUCCAUUAUCUGUGAUGGCAACAACGACGUGAUUCACGAACAAUAAUUGUCAGUCUGAACACAGGUUUACAUUGGGAAAAAAAGUGUACCAGUUUUAUAUGACGCGAAGUGUACAAAAAAGUACAGUCUGUUGAAUUUUUUGCUGUUUUUUGUCGAAUUUUUGCAUUUUGAAGUUUUUUAUAUGCCACAAAUAUUUUCACAAUUAAUUUUAUGUUGGAGUUUGAAAUUUUAUGGCAUCCCUCUGUGUCGUCCUUUUGAUAGUUCAAAUUAUUUCCGCAGCACCUGCGCCGGGUAUUGAUUUGGUGAACAAGCCAGUAAUCCGUGGAUGUAAUUUCCGUCCUCUCGGAGACAACGGAGACCGUCUAGCCGGUGCAUAUGGUGGUGACGUUGGGGGUGACAUUGGGCACGGUGUAGGUGUGGGCCACGGAUACCAAACAAGUUAUUACCAUUGCUUGUGAUAAAAACUGUUCUUAUACCUAAAAAAUACCUAAUUUUACAUGUGGGCUCUAUAAAAUUGUUGUCUGUAUUUUAUCUGUCUUUAUUGUAUAUUGUAGAAUAUUUUUGUAAUUAGAUUAUUAUUUGUUCUAUUUGUUUGUUAUUAUGGGUAAUACUCUAAGUAUAACAGUAUGUAAUAAAUUAAAAAACGUAGUGUACUAAUAAAGAAUUUUGAGUUUUA